GUCCCUGUAAUGCAAAGGAUAGUGCAUUGGACUUCUAAUCCAAAGGUCGUGGGUUCUAAUUCCACCUGGGAUG